rnacentral:rRNA from 1 species
GACGAACGCUGGCGGCGUGCCUAAUACAUGCAAGUCGAACGCUGAAGGAGGAGCUUGCUUCUCUGGAUGAGUUGCGAACGGGUGAGUAACGCGUAGGUAACCUGCCUGGUAGCGGGGGAUAACUAUUGGAAACGAUAGCUAAUACCGCAUAAGAGUAGAUGUUGCAUGACAUUUGCUUAAAAGGUGCAAUUGCAUCACUACCAGAUGGACCUGCGUUGUAUUAGCUAGUUGGUGGGGUAACGGCUCACCAAGGCGACGAUACAUAGCCGACCUGAGAGGGGGAUCGGCCACACUGGGACGGAGACACGGCCCAGAAUCCUACGGGAGGCAGCAGGAGGGAAUCUUCGGCAAUGGCCGGAAGGCUGACCGAGCAACGCCGCGUGAGUGAAGAAGGUUUUCGGAUCGUAAAGAUCUGUUGUAAGAGAAGAACGAGUGUGAGAGUUGAAAGUUCACACUGUGACGGUAUCUUACCAGAAAGGGACGGCUAACUACGUG